rnacentral:ncRNA from 1 species
GACCCAAAAGAUGGUGAGGCGUGUCCGGGCAGGGCAAGCCAGAGGAUUCCCCUGUGGAGAUCUGUAUUGAUUCUGAAACACAAAUUGGACAUCCUACCUUGUUACUGGGGAGAGAGACCAAUCGAAUCAACUAGUACCUGA